rnacentral:rRNA from 1 species
CGGGACACGUGGUAUCCUGUCUGAAUAUGGGGGGACCAUCCUCCAAGGCUAAAUACUCCUGACUGACCGAUAGUGAACCAGUACCGUGAGGGAAAGGCGAAAAGAACCCCGGCGAGGGGAGUGAAAAAGAACCUGAAACCGUGUACGUACAAGCAGUGGGAGCACAGAGCAAUCUGUGUGACUGCGUACCUUUUGUAUAAUGGGUCAGCGACUUAUAUUCUGUAGCAAGGUUAACCGAAUAGGGGAGCCGAAGGGAAACCGAGUCUUAACUGGGCGUUAAGUUGCAGGGUAUAGACCCGAAACCCGGUGAUCUAGCCAUGGGCAGGUUGAAGGUUGGGUAACACUAACUGGAGGACCGAACCGACUAAUGUUGAAAAAUUAGCGGAUGACUUGUGGCUGGGGGUGAAAGGCCAAUCAAACCGGGAGAUAGCUGGUUCUCCCCGAAAGCUAUUUAGGUAGCGCCUCGUGAAUUCAUCUCCGGGGGUAGAGCACUGUUUCGGCAAGGGGGUCAUCCCGACUUACCAACCCGAUGCAAACUGCGAAUACCGGAGAAUGUUAUCACGGGAGACACACGGCGGGUGCUAACGUCCGUCGUGAAGAGGGAAACAACCCAGACCGCCAGCUAAGGUCCCAAAGUCAUGGUUAAGUGGGAAACGAUGUGGGAAGGCCCAGACAGCCAGGAUGUUGGCUUAGAAGCAGCCAUCAUUUAAAGAAAGCGUAAUAGCUCACUGGUCGAGUCGGCCUGCGCGGAAGAUGUAACGGGGCUAAACCAUGCACCGAAGCUGCGGCAGCGACACUAUGUGUUGUUGGGUAGGGGAGCGUUCUGUAAGCCUGUGAAGGUGUGCUGUGAGGCAUGCUGGAGGUAUCAGAAGUGCGAAUGCUGACAUAAGUAACGAUAAAGCGGGUGAAAAGCCCGCUCGCCGGAAGACCAAGGGUUCCUGUCCAACGUUAAUCGGGGCAGGGUGAGUCGACCCCUAAGGCGA